GACGUAGGGGGCUAGCGUUGUCCGGAAUCAUUGGGCGUAAAGCGCGCGUAGGCGGCCCGGUAAGUCCGCUGUAAAAGUCCAGGGCUCAACCCUGGAAAGCCGGUGGAUACUGUCGGGCUCGAGUCCGGAAGAGGCGAGUGGAAUUCCUGGUGUAGCGGUGAAAUGCGCAGAUAUCAGGAAGAACACCCGAGGCGAAAGCGGCUCUCUGGGACGGUACUGACGCUGAGACGCGAAAGCGUGGGGAGCGAACAGG
rnacentral:rRNA from 1 species